rnacentral:rRNA from 1 species
GAGUUUGAUCAUGGCUCAGAUUGAACGCUGGCGGCAUGCCUUACACAUGCAAGUCGAACGGUAACAGGUCUUCGGAUGCUGACGAGUGGCGAACGGGUGAGUAAUACAUCGGAACGUGCCCGAUCGUGGGGGGAUAACGAAGCGAAAGCUUUGCUAAUACCGCAUACGAUCUACGGAUGAAAGCAGGGGACCGCAAGGCCUUGCGCGAACGGAGCGGCCGAUGGCAGAUUAGGUAGUUGGUGGGAUAAAAGCUUACCAAGCCGACGAUCUGUAGCUGGUCUGAGAGGACGACCAGCCACACUGGGACUGAGACACGGCCCAGACUCCUACGGGAGGCAGCAGUGGGAAUUUUGGACAAUGGGCGAAAGCCUGAUCCAGCCAUGCCGCGUGCAGGAUGAAGGCCUUCGGUUG